rnacentral:rRNA from 1 species
GUGGGGAAUAUUGGGCAAUGGGGGCAACCCUGACCCAGCGACGCCGCGUGGGUGAAGAAAUCCCUCGGGAUGUAAAGCCCUGUUGUAUGGGAAGAGCAGAAGACGGUACCAUACGAGGAAGCCCCGGCAAACUACGUGCCAGCAGCCGCGGUAAUACGUAGGGGGCAAGCGUUGUCCGGAAUUACUGGGCGUAAAGCGCACGCAGGCUGAAUUAUAAGUCGGUAGUCAAAUACGGAGGCUCAACUUCCGGAUAUCUAUCGAUACUGUAAAUCUAGAGUAUGUGAGAGGGAAGCGGAAUUCCCGGUGUAGCGGUGAGAUGCGUAGAUAUCGGGAGGAACACCAGUGGCGAAGGCGGCUUCCUGGCACAAUACUGACGCUCAUGUGCGAAAGCUAGGGCAGCGAACGGGAUUAGAAACCCGGGUAGUCC